AACAUGGUGGCCUAGUAGUAAGGCUCUGGGCUUGUUGACCCAGAGGUUGGAGGUUCAAAAUCCAAGUUA
rnacentral:tRNA from 1 species